rnacentral:pre_miRNA from 1 species
CAAAUACUCCCUCUGUCCGGAAAUACUUGUCAUCAAAAUGGAUAAAAGGAAAUGUAUCUAGACAUAUUUUAGUUUUAGAUACAUCUCUUUUUAUCCAUUUUGAUGACAAGUAUUUUCGGACGGAGGGAGUAGAAA